GCACUACCUGUGAAUGUUUGGUAAAGAUCAACAUAGCAUAGUGGAAGCAAUUGAUGGCUAUGUGAUGCCAGUACUCCUUCCUUUCUUGAUGGAUCAUGUUGAAUAUGUGUUCGGCCGAGUGAUGCAGUGAACAGAGGGCAUCUUGAGAAGUAACCGAGAUGAACAAUCGAGAUUCUGCCCAGGUAGGCGGAGGAAGCCCGACAUCCUCAGAAAAACUGCUAGUCUCAAUUGGCCACUGGAGGUUCUCGACAACCAGCAUGUACUUCUCGGAUGACAACUGACUGCCGAUCCGAGGGAGUAGUCUCUCCCGCGCGUAAUUCUCCAACUCCAGGCCUAGCUCCUUUGCCGCAGCGAUGGCCAACUGGUACUUUAUGCUCAUGAAUGCCGGGUCCAGAUCCACCUUUAUCACGUGUUUGAAAGGCCCAUGGAGCUGAUGUAUUUUCUCCACAGCCCUGAUUGAUAUAGCACGUGUGAAUGAAGCCAUGGGUCCCACACCAACGCUCCAACACACAUAACUACCUGGAAAUAUAGGAAUGUUUUGAUGGUAGGGACCAAGCUAGGGACCUCAAGAUGGGACAUCAUGUGAAUACACCCUGAUUCUAAGGUAGAGAGAUGUUUGGGAUUAGGACAUCCACAAAAGUUGACUCUUAGCUGACUCUUAUUUGAAAAUUGCUUAUGUAGAGGAGGGAGAAAUGAGAGAGAAGAGGACUGGCUCGGACUUUUAGCCAAGAGUAGAUUAAGAAUCAAUCUUGUUACUGUUUUACACCAUUGAAUUUAAUGCUGACAAAUCAUGUCGACUCUAGGUGACGUGGAAAUUCAGUACUGACUCUACCUUUAUGGAUAUACUCUUAGAUAUAGAUUUAUGUACCAAAAGUGAAUUGUGAAGAACUAUUAAGUAGUAAAAUAAUCAUUAUAAGGUUGUUAAGAAAACACAUAUGGAUAAAUACUACAAAAAUGCACUAUGUAUAUAUUAAGGAAGGAGUGUAAAUUAGGAGGUUAUGAAUCA